AAGUGAAACGCCGUAGCGCCGAUGGUAGUGUGGGGUCUCCCCAUGCGAGAGUAGGGAACUGCCAGGCAUCAAAUUAAGCGAAGGGCCCUGUCGGAAGACAGGGCCUUUUGUUUUAUCUGUAGUCUGCCGGUGAGCACUCGUUGCGCAGCAACGGCCCGUAGGGUGGCGGGCAGGACGCCCGCCAUAAACUGCCAGGCAUCAAAUUAGUGAAGAAGCCCGUCCGUCAGGACGGGCUUUUUUGCGUGUGUGGUAACUGUAAAAAUGCAGGCCUGAUAAGCGCAGCGCCAUCAGGCAACCUGCACCGCCGGAUGGCAGCUUCGCCUUAUCCGGCCUACGGCAUCGACACAAUGCCUGUGUAUACCGCCUUAUUCCGUCGACAUAACCGCAAGCCUUCCCUAC
rnacentral:rRNA from 1 species